UCCCAUUAAGCCAAGUUCCUGGAGGAGAUCACUAAGCUCGUCAUGCUAGAGCACUUUUUCAAUGGGCUACCCAAUGAUAAGGCGCAUUUGUAUGUCAUCCAUAUAAACUUUCGAUGCCAUUUACUGCGCCUACCAUGAUGACCAUGGGUAACGGGGAAUCAGGGUUCGAUUCCGGAGAGGGAGCCUGAGAAACGGCUACCACAUGUAAGGAAGGCAACGGGCGCACAAAUGACCCACUCCCGACGUGGGAAGGUAGUGACGA